rnacentral:rRNA from 1 species
AUGGAGAUGCCGAGGUCGCCGAGUGCGUGGGCGUUCUGGUUUCUUGGCCUGCCGAAGCAGCCGGAGAUGGGCCACGACGGUGCAUGUUUCGAGCUGGACGAGAGCGACGUCGUGUGGUCGGUAGGCGGCAACGGUGGGGACGUGGACGGGUGGUCGGCCACGCCGUGCCGCAGAGCUUCGAGCUGUCGUCGCUCCUUGCGAAGGGUGGCGGCAUCAGGGAGCAGUCGUCACCCUGGUCAUGCCACAGCUGCUGGCCUUGCAAAUCGAGCCGUCGCGCUCCGGAUCCACCUGCCGGAGAGUGAAAUUGAGGUCUUGUAA